AAGAAUUGAAAGUUGAGUUGCUAAACUUAAUCAACAAUGUUGAUAAAAAUGAAGAUUGCCAACGUAGGUGUUAAGUUUCCAUCAGUAGUGGCAAAACUUGUGAAAACAGACUGAAGUCAUUGGUACAUCAUUAGUGAAGACCGGACUACACCCUGAAACACAUGAGAUACACACCAUUAACUCUUCCAAAGGCUAUACUAAUUCCAAACAUGGAAUAACUGCCACCCAUUUCAUGGCAAAUCUCUUUCUAAUGUGGAUACCUUUCUUAGAAAGAAGCGAUAAGCCUUUGA
rnacentral:lncRNA from 1 species